rnacentral:rRNA from 2 species
AGUGAAGCGGGAUGAGCUCAAAUUUAAAAUCUGGCUGGUUUACUAGUCCGAAUUGUAGUUUAAAGAAGCGUUUUCGGUGGCAGUCUCGGUAUAAAUCCUUUGGAAUAGGGUAUCAUAGAGGGUGAGAAUCCCGUCUUUGACUGAGAAUUUGCUACUAUGUGAUACGUUUUCAAAGAGUCGAGUUGUUUGGGAAUGCAGCUCAAAAUGGGUGGUAAAUUUCAUCUAAAGCUAAAUAUUGGCGAGAGACCGAUAGCGAACAAGUACCGUGAGGGAAAGAUGAAAAGAACUUUGAAAAGAGAGUUAAACAGUGCGUGAAAUUGUUGAAAGGGAAACGCUUGAAACCAGUCAUGUAGUUGGAAAAUCAGUGUUCAAUUGGGGGGAAUGGGAGAGGUGUGGACCGCAAGGCUGCUCUUUUCUAUAUCUCUUUUGUUGGGCAUGCACUUUUUCUUCCACAGGUCAACAUCAGUUUCUUCUGCUGGACAAAACUCUUGAGAAGGUAGCAGCUUAGGCUGUGUUAUAGCUCUGGAGCGAUACAGUGGAGGGGACUGAGGUUUUCGCAGCAUGUGCUCUCGGGCAAGGCCAAUUGGAUGCUAUGGGAUCGUUCGGGGUACAAUACAUGUAUUUUGCUUCGUGUCUUUUCUAUACUCGUUUAGUUGAGCUCUUCCAUGCUUAGGAUGUUGACUUAAUGGUUUUAAUCGACCCGUCUUGAAACACGGACCAAGGAGUCUAACAUAUAUGCAAGUGUUUGGGUGGCAAACCCAUGCGCGUAAUGAAAGUGAACGUAGGUGCCAUCCGCAAGGUGCAGCAUCGACCGAUCUUGAUAUUUUUGGAUAGAUUUGAGUAAGAGCAUAUAUGCUGGGACCCGAAAGAUGGUGAACUAUGCCUGAAUAGGGUGAAGCCAGAGGAAACUCUGGUGGAGGCUCGUAGCGAUUCUGACGUGCAAAUCGAUCGUCAAAUUUGGGUAUAGGGGCGAAAGACUAAUCGACC